CUUAAAAACAAAGAAAAACUGACUUCGAAUCUCUUUCAUUACUGAAAGUCUUUUGUGAUCUCAUUGAAACUCUUUUGAAAGGAUGUGCUUAGCUUGUAUGCUGAAACCAGUCAAACAAAAGUUCAACAAGCUACCAAUACGAUUACAAUUCAAAUUCUCUGGCAGAUAUAUACAGCUUACAAUUUCGAUUGAAGGGGUUAUGCAUGCCGACACGACAAUUGAGAACUGCUUCGGUGAAUAGAUGGACAGCGGCCACUAGAUUCUCACCGCCCGACAAUGUCGAUGAUGACGAUGAUGAUGAUGACGAGGAUAAGGAUGAUGAUGAUGACGCCGUAUUGAGGGGCUCCUCAAAAAAUGGACCCCAGUGAUGCUCAUGAUGGUGUUUGCUGCGAAAUGUUCGCGGACGUUCCGUAUCAUGGGUGGAGGAACCUAAAUCGCCCACCCACCACUUGACCACUUGACUUACCCCCAACGGUUGUCCAAUGGUUUCU